GGGCGACAGUGAGACUCUGGUCUCAAAAAUGCUGGUUUUUAAUGCAACUCUCAGUGUGGUUUUCCGAGGGGGCUGCAAAGAGGGAAGUAGUGGAAGAAACGAGUUCUAAAAUGAGGCGCUCUCGUAGGAGGCAACAAGUAAGCUCUGCCCCAAAGCUCCUUUUAAAACCAACAUAAAUGAGUAACAGAAGAAAAGGAUUUUGGGUCCAGGAAGUAGGCUCAUUCUCCAUAACCAUCGGAAAGGAAGAGGCCCAGGCAGCGCUCCACAUCCUGACCCUAGCUUUUAACACCAUCGUUUUGGGGAGAGGAGAGGAGGAACGCACCCACAGUGAGGUCUCCACCCAACACUUCUCCGACCCCAGCUUCAGCCUGGCGCACCUUCCUUCCCAAACCCGCCUCUCCCGCCUCGGAGACCCCCUCCUCCUCCCUGCCACCAAAGGCCACGCAGCCCCCAUCUAGCCAGUCCUCACGGACCCUGGACCAAGACGCGCCUCCUGGAGGCCGAGACUGCCCGAAACCCGGCCCCUGCGUCCACCGGGAGCGCCACACUCUGGCAGCUGACCGGCGGCUGUCGCCGGGGGUAAGG
rnacentral:lncRNA from 1 species